GGUGGUUCUCAGAUGAUGCACCCUGGAAUCAGGCUCCCUCCUCUCUGGGUCUGGGUGCAUCACCCGAAAACAGCA
rfam:Myotis brandtii contig252705, whole genome shotgun sequence.